rnacentral:rRNA from 1 species
AUGCUGAGAAGAAUGCAAACACAAGGGGAUUUGAGCUGGAGUGAUCAAUGCAUUGUUUGCCAGGACAGUACAGACGAGGAAACAUUAGAGCAAGUAAGUAAUGCUUGUUCCCUCAAUGUUCUGAUAUGUCCAAGAUUCUUCACUGACAAAGGACUCAUUCCAAGGGAUACCUUUACACAAUUAUUUAUUUUCUUAAUCAAGUACAAUGUACAUGCUCUUUUGUUCGGUGAAAUGCUAGGUGAUGUGUUUUUUGUCAAUAUUUGUAGUCACUCUCGCCGGCGUCACGAGAUCUUCCACAAGCUGCUGUUCAGACCUCUGCCUACCACAACGCUCAUACAUACCUUUAUGAUCGAUACUUCGGCGUAA